AACCCCACCCGCCACCCACACUCCGCUCCGCUGCCGGGCCUCCAGCGAGCUCCGCGCGUCCGGGUCCGGGAGGGAGCCAAGGGCUCCCUGGUUCAAAGGGCCGCAGCCCAAGGGGAUGCCCUCCUCGUGUGCCCUGGGGUGCAGAAGCAGACUGCAGGGCGGUGGGACCAGCCUGGGCCACGCCACAGGAGUGGAUCGUACAUUAUCCUACCCCGACUGAAAAAAUCCGACGUAGUGAUUGAUUUUACAGCUGCCAGUGCCUGAAAAUUCCUCAGCGUGGAUUCCAGCAGAAAAGGAGUUCUAAAAUUGGAGUGAGGACCUAGAAGUUGGGAAGAAACCCACGACAGGGCAACACCUGCUACAUGCUCCCCGUAUGGCCAGCACAUCCUUUGCCCAAAAGGUGGUAUCACUCCCAUCGACUUCCUAAACUCUUCAGGUGUUGAAGACACAGGCACAAUGUCUGGGGAACUCUGGCACCCACCAACACCCUCCCUUAGAGUAUCCAAGAGUGACUUCUGAAGGGGUUGGCCAGGGAUAUGGAAAUAAUUUUUGGACAGUUUGACUCCCUGAAGAAAUUGAUGAAGCGGUUUGGUAACUAAACCAGGCUAUGACAAGUUGCAGGGAGACCGCGGAGAACUCAAUAAGAAGGAGCGGCGACUGGAAUCAAAAACCCUCGGAAUGUUUGGAAGACUGAGCGAAGAUGGCUCCAAAUGAUAGGCGGGAAAUGGAUGCUUCCCUCUCCCGAGUUGGUUUCUUCCUGGUCCUCUACGAGAAGCUGUCUGCCUGCGAUCAGCAUUUUGCAAACUUCUACUAGACUUUAUUAGAGUUUUCCCCCACCUCUCUUCCUCUGAGUUCCUUCCUCUCUUCUCACGAAGUUAGCACGGGAGGGGAAAAGUGAUACCAGCGAAGGGAAGAGACAUAUUUUCUGCCCCCACCCCGCUUGCUGCUUAGUAAAGUGGCCUCAGUCUGAGCUACCCAGGGUCUUUCUAGGAACUGCUGUCUGAGAGUGGGAGAGCAUAUCCUCCUCCCUACCCGCCCCCAGCAGUUCUGUAGGCGCUUUUAACAACCUAUCUCCCAGUGAAAAGCAGUGCUGCAUAGAAACUGUGCAGACCGGUAGAACUGCUCUUCCCUAAAGUGCGGUAGUGGGGACCCCUACUAGAAAAUAAACACCCCAGCUAGAGGCGGACCUUGUAGAAUUCAGGUUGAAUUGAGGAUGCCCCCCCUCAGUUGGAGAGUGCUGGAGAAGGGACUUCCGAGGAACCUUGUAACACAAAAAGUGAAAUAUGUUUAUCCCAACUCCAUGCUCAGAAUCCUUGCAAAGAAAGGCAGAGAUGGUAGUUGUCAAAGCCAGCUGUGCCUCCUGCCCCCCAAACUCAUUUGCUUGAAGGGUCCAGCUCAGCCGAAGCCCCAAAUAAGAAAGAUGACAAACAGUAAUACUCAGGGCACUGUGCAAACGGUUACAAAGAAACUGCAGCUCCCUCUCCCUCUUUAAAAAAAAAAAAAUCCAUGGAAGUAAAAGCACGAGCAAUCUUAAAUAAUUCCAUAAUCGAGACAGAAAGAGCAGAUACACUGUAGAUUCAUAGCUUAGGGCACAAAUGUUUCCUGGCUUCCUGUGUCCUGCUUGGUAAAAAAACAAACAAACAAAACUAAACUUAGCUGAAGCUUUUGGGUUCUUCUUUAACUGGAGAAGUGGCAAGAAUCAAAGGUUUUAAAAGUGUGUGGUUUCAAAAAAAGACCGGAUCUUGGAUACAUUUUGCCAGAUUCCCACCCCUUGCAAGCAAAACAGUGCCUUCUAACUUUGUUUUCUCAACUUUCUUUCUCAACCUCACCCCAAGUUUUUUGGUUUCUUCUUCUUCUCUGAACUUGAUGGGUUUUCCUUUGUUUCUGCCGAAGUGUUUCUGACUUGGAUAAAUAUGAAUUAUCUGUCCUCUCCCUAGAGCUUUGCGACACUCCCCACUCACUUGCAUCAGCGUGGAGCAGACCCCGACCUCUAAGAUCUGGAGAAGGUUAGAAGGUUCCUGUGGCUAGGGCUGAGUCUGAAACAAUGCCCUGGGUACCCAAUGUGUGCUGAAUAACCACCACCGAAAUAGAUAUUAAAAUUAAAUAGCCACAAAACUAAGAGGGUGGGGGUAAACAUACCACAAAACAUGAUUUUUACUAACAAGGAAGUUAUAAAAUGAAUGAAUGUAAAGGGUGCUGCUUCUUCCUCUACAUGGUAUAAGACUAGCGAUAACUGGACCAUGACGAGAAAACUCUGCUUCUCUUCUCCCCUGUUAUUUUGUUAGAAAUCUUGCAGAACUGAACAAAUGCAGAAUGUUUGUUCUCAAAAAAAAAAAAAAAAACAAGCCUGUGCUUACUACUGCCGAAUAAAUCUUUAAAAGGCUGUGGUUCUUCUCAUUAAAUAAGUAGCAUAUGAAAUAAUUUUUAAAAACUCUGUCAAAAAAGUUCCUUCAAUAUUUUGCUUUUGAAAUGGUUUGAAAGGGGAACAAUGUGAACGAAAUUACUUCCUCGGCAUGGUCUGUGUAAAAGUGAAUCCUGAAAUAUCAGAGAGGGUAACAGGGGCCAUAGAGCAAUGUGAGCCAGGCUGGGGUUGCACUCCCUGACCCUGUGUGCAUCUGGGAAAGGCAAAGGCGCACCUCACUCUGCAUAUUUUUCCUUCCCUCUUUCAAUAGGGAAUCUUGUUUCAAUUUAUGCUUCAGAAUAAAACUCCAGCGCACUUUAA